rnacentral:rRNA from 1 species
AGAGUUUGAUCCUGGCUCAGAUUGAACGCUGGCGGCAUGCCUUACACAUGCAAGUCGAACGGUAACAGGUCUUCGGACGCUGACGAGUGGCGAACGGGUGAGUAAUACAUCGGAACGUGCCCAGUCGUGGGGGAUAACUACUCGAAAGAGUAGCUAAUACCGCAUACGAUCUGAGGAUGAAAGCGGGGGACCUUCGGGCCUCGCGCGAUUGGAGCGGCCGAUGGCAGAUUAGGUAGUUGGUGGGAUAAAAGCUUACCAAGCCGACGAUCUGUAGCUGGUCUGAGAGGACGACCAGCCACACUGGGACUGAGACACGGCCCAGACUCCUACGGGAGGCAGCAGUGGGGAAUUUUGGACAAUGGGCGAAAGCCUGAUCCAGCAAUGCCGCGUGCAGGAUGAAGGCCUUCGGGUUGUAAACUGCUUUUGUACGGAACGAAAAAGCUUCUCCUAAUACGAGAGGCCCAUGACGGUACCGUAAGAAUAAGCACCGGCUAACUACGUGCCAGCAGCCCGCGGUAAUACGUAGGGUGCGAGCGUUAAUCGGGAAUUACUGGGCGUAAAGCCGUGCGCAGGCGGGUUAUGUAAGACAGAUGUGAAAUCCCCCGGGCUCAACCUGGGAACCUGCAUUUUGUGACUGCAUGGCUAGAGUACGGUACAGGGGGGAUGGGAAAUCCGCCGUGUAACAGUGAAACUGCAUAAAAUUUUGCGGGAAGGAAACUCC